rnacentral:rRNA from 1 species
UACAGAGACUGCAAGCGUUAUUCGGAUUCACUGGGCGUAAAGGGUGCGCAGGCGGUUGGGUGUGUCAGAUGUGAAAUCCCGAGGCUUAACCUCGGAACUGCGUCUGAAACUACUCGACUAGAGUACUGGAGAGGGAAACGGAAUUCACGGUGUAGCAGUGAAAUGCGUAGAUAUCGCGAGGAACACCAGAGGCGAAGGCGGUUUCCUGGACAGUUACUGACGCUCAGGCACGAAAGCAUGGGGAGCAAAAGGG